UACGAAGGGGGCGAGCGUUGUUCGGAUUUACUGGGCGUAAAGAGCGUGUAGGCGGUUUGGUAGGUCCGCUGUGAAAACUCGAGGCUCAACCUCGAGACGCCGGUGGAAACCAUCAGGCUAGAGUCCGGAAGAGGAGAGUGGAACUCCUGGUGUAGCGGUGGAAUGCGCAGAUAUCAGGAAGAACACCGGUGGCGAAGGCGGGUCUCUGGGCCGUAACUGACGCUGAGGAGCGAAAGCGUGGGGAGCGAACAGG
rnacentral:rRNA from 1 species